GGGGAAUUAGCUCAGUGGUAGAGCGCUUGCCUAGCAAGCGCAAGGCCCUGGGUUCGGUCCCCAGCUCCG
rfam:Rattus norvegicus chromosome 3, whole genome shotgun sequence.